GCGGCGGACGGGUGAGUAACACGUGGGCAACCUGCCCUGCAGACUGGGAUAACUUCGGGAAACCGGAGCUAAUACCGGAUAACACCGAAAACCGCAUGGUUUUCGGUUGAAAGGCGGCUUUUAGCUGUCACUGCAGGAUGGGCCCGCGGCGCAUUAGCUAGUUGGUGAGGUAACGGCUCACCAAGGCGACGAUGCGUAGCCGACCUGAGAGGGUGACCGGCCACACUGGGACUGACACACGGCCCAGACUCCUACGGGAGGCAGCAGUAGGGAAUCUUCCGCAAUGGACGAAAGUCUGACGGAGCAACGCCGCGUGAGCGAAGAAGGUCUUCGGAUCGUAAAGCUCUGUUGUCAGGGAAGAACAAGUACCGUUCGAACAGGGCGGUACCUUGACGGUACCUGACGAGGAAGCCACGGCUAACUACGUGCCAGCAGCCGCGGUAAUAC
rnacentral:rRNA from 1 species